rnacentral:rRNA from 1 species
GACGUAGGGCGCGAGCGUUGUCCGGAUUUAUUGGGCGUAAAGAGCUCGUAGGCGGCUUGUCGCGUCGACUGUGAAAACCCGUGGCUCAACCAUGUGGUCUGCAGUCGAUACGGGCAGGCUAGAAUUCGGUAGGGGAGACUGGAAUUCCUGGUGUAGCGGUGAAAUGCGCAGAUAUCAGGAGGAACACCGGUGGCGAAGGCGGGUCUCUGGGCCGAUAUUGACGCUGAGGAGCGAAAGCGUGGGGAGCGGACAGG